GACGAACCGUCCAAACGUUAUUCGGAAUCACUGGGCUUACAGAGUUCGUAGGCGGUCUGGAAAGUUGGGUGUGAAAUCCCUCGGCCUAACCGAGGAACUGCGCUUGAAACUACCAGACUCGAGGGAGAUAGAGGAAAGCGGAACUGAUGGUGGAGCGGUGAAAUGCGUUGAUAUCAUCAGGAACACCGGUGGCGAAGGCGGCUUUCUGGGUCUUACCUGACGCUGAAGAACGAAAGCCAGGGGAGCAAACGGG
rnacentral:rRNA from 1 species